CUGUAUGCAACUCAUUGUUGCCCAGGUAACUCAGAUAUAUACUCCCCUUCUACGAUUGGAGGGGAUUGUUAGCUGGCAGGUGUGCUGUGGGGAAACUGCAGACCGCUCAGUUUCCCUCCGUCCCUAUAGAA